AGUGAACGCUGGCGGUAGGCCUAACACAUGCAAGUCGAACGGCAGCACAGUAAGAGCUUGCUCUUACGGGUGGCGAGUGGCGGACGGGUGAGGAAUACAGCGGAAUCUACUUUUUCGGGGGGGAUAACGUAGGGAAACUUACGCUAAUACCGCAUACGACCUACGGGUGAAAGCAGGGGAUCUUCUGACCUUGCGCGAUUGAAUGAGCCGAUGUCGGAUUAGCUAGUUGGCGGGGUAAAGGCCCACCAAGGCGACGAUCCGUAGCUGGUCUGAGAGGAUGGACAGGCACACUGGCACUGAGACACGGUCCAGACUUCUAAGGGAGGCAGCAGUGGGGAAUAUUGGACAAUGGGCGAAAGCCUGAUACAGCCCUACCGCGUGGGUGAAGAAGGCGUUCGGGUUGUAAAGCCCAUUUGUUGGGCAAGAAAAGAAGCAGGUUAAUACCCCGCUGUUCUGACGGUACCCAAAGAAUAAGCACCGGCUAACUUCGUG
rnacentral:rRNA from 1 species